UUUUUUUUUUUUUUUGGUCAAAUACGAAAGAAGAGAAGAAGAGCAAAGCGCUUUCACUCCAGUUCCAGGCAGGAAUAGAAAUCCUCACUGAGAAAACCUUACUCCACAGGAGGCAUGUCUCAGAACAAGGGAAAAAGCGUGUCGUGGCCAUGCAAGCCAACAGUAGCACAGCCUGCUACAGACCCCAUGGGCUGCUGAGAAUCUCUAUCAUUCACAUCUUAUGAACUGGUUUGGCGCAUCUCCAGAGGACAUUGGCAGCUGUUCAAGGCCUUGCAAGCAGCUCCAAUCGCAGCCGGUUUCAUGGCCAGGCUGCAGGCAGGAAGGAUCGAGGUCUUCAGCUGGAGCAGAUGAGUGGGGCUCUGCUGGAGGCUCCAUCACACCUCCAGUCCCUUCCGGGGCAGAACAGCAGCCACGUGCUCUGAGAUCUGGGAUCAGGAGGCCGUGGGCCAUCUCCAAACUGGUGCCAGGCAGCGCAGCACCGCAUGCCUUGCAGGAGCUCCACCUCCUACCAACAGCAGUGCGGUCAGUGGAGAGGAAAGAUGCUGAAAAUGAUCCCUGCGUUAUCCGGGUGCCAAAUCAAUGCAUCUCAUCCUGCCCUGCACUGAGAGCAGAGCAUUGCUGAGAGCAGGAUGGAGGAAGGUGAGGGAAGUCCUACAGGUGGGGAAGGAACACCAACAGGUCUGAAGGACCGCAGUGCCCCUGCAGCUCCCCAGGUCUCCACCUGCGACUGCCCCGUGCAAUGGGUGAGUAUGGGUUGGAGUGUCUGCCCUGAGCACUGUGAGCUGCUCUGGGACUGCAGGUUUGAGAUCGGGGCUUUCUGGAAUGGGUAUUUACCCAACGCAGGGCAUCGGGUUAAGUCUGGACAAAUGGAGACGCUGGAAUUACUGAGUAAAAUGUCCUGGCCUGUCUUCUGCAGGAGGUCAUCUAGAUGAUCUGUUCGUCCCUCCUGGCCUUUAAAUCUACUAAUCUAUUUUCCCUUCCAGGAAAUAUAACAACAUUCUGAGAACAACAGCCCCUUAGGAAGAAAAAACAAUAAGGGAAGAAAGCACGCCUUUGAAAAACAACAGCAAAGAAAAAAACCCUUCAACUAUAAAAUAAACUAAGGUACAAGAUGCAAUUAACAAUGCACAAACAGCAGAGCCCGGAAUGUAAAUUGUAUUUAAAUAGGGCUGUGAAGAAUGUUUCAGUCCCCUAAAUGGCUUCUCUCUCCUGCUGCCUUGAACCUCCAAUCAAGCCCUGCCUGGGAGUAAUUUGGUGCUGGAAAUUGUUGCCACACGAACAGCUGAAGGCUGGCAGGGUCACCGGCCCCCCGUGUCACACCCUGUCAUUUUAGAUUAAGAUAUGCAAAGGCGACACGGCUGCGAACUUUCCCUUUGCUGCUGUGGCUGCGUCCAUCCCCUCGACUGUAAUGAGAGGAAGGCGUAAUUGGAGUCAACUGCUUGAUUAUGAUAAUUGCUACUGUCUGGGGGAAGAAACAUUUGAGUCCCGGAGCUUGAUCCGCGCUGCACCUUUGGGGUGACUGCUGUCUGUUUGCCGGCAGAUGGGCCCUGCACAGAGCAUCCCUCGGCCCCGCGCCGGCCCCUGACCCCAACCCCACCACUUGUUGGCUCCCGAUCCCGCAGGGUCACGGGGCGUUGGGCUGCUCGCUGCCUCCCACCGGAGCGUCGCUCCUGAAGGAUUUAUCCCCUCAGAGGGAAAGGGCCUUUUGGAAAUUUAUCCCCGGCUCUUCACAGCAGCACAAGUGGGAGAUGAGGCGCCGUAUAUUUUCCGCUGGGAUAUUUAUCGCUUUCAUUGUACAUCCCAGCAACGAUCUGUGGGAAAUGCCUCCUGGGAGCUCAGCCGUCGGUCUGCCAGCAGGGACAGUCCUGGGCUCAGGGCAGAGGGAUGGCAGCGAGGAGAUGAACAUGCGGUGCUCAGAGCACCCAGCACAGCUCAGUGCCACCUCUCAGCAGCUCUGUCUGUGCAUUGGUGCCAAUAACCUGCCCAGCAGUGGCGUGAGCACAGAGGCACAUAAAGCCCACCUUUAUUUUGCCAAAUUCUGAGCCGUCAUUUGCUGCCAGCAGUCCCACCUCUUCCAUCCAGGAGCUGGUGACGUUGAUCGAGCUGCAGAUCGGAAGCUGUUCCCUGGAUGAGGUGGGCCGCCUGCUGCCCUCACCACGCUCUUCCCACCCCACUGCUGCCCGCCCUGAGGUCUGCUCCAGCGCAGGGAGGUCUGGCACUCUUGAACCUGAGGUCAAAAACAAGAGGGAGGAAAAGAAUGGCCUUCAGGCCAGAGGAAGAAACCAGGGCAACCAGGCUCUUAACGUGAUAAAAGGGCUUUAUCUCAAAGCACUUAAACAAAACACACAAGCCUGAGAGAAGAGGCUCUGUCAAGUAUCCGCCCGGGACAUGGGGAAAUUGCAAAUCCCUGCAGGACAGAGGGGCUCUUUCUUCAGUGUGCAGAGCCUGGAGCUGGGGCUGGGCAGGUGAGGGGUGCUGGGGAAGGGGUGCAUGGGGGAUUUCCCGUUUGCAGUGGUGCAUGGGUACGGAUCAGACUGUGAGCAGCUGUUAGAGAGCAGAUCACGGGCACGGGGAGUGGGCAGCAGUGCUGGAGAGGGGCAGGAGAGAAUGGGAGAUGGGACAUGCAGCAGCAGGUGGGCAUGGUCCCAUCCCCUGUGUGUGGGGAGUCAGUGUAAAUCAGUGCCAUCUCUGCACUUGGUGGGUGGAUGGGUGCAGUUUGCAGGAGUUGGAUGGGUGUAGUUUACAGGAGUUGGAGGGGAGGCUUGGUUCUUGCUGGCCCCUUACAGAACGCUGCAGGGAGGAUUGUGCCAUGGAGAGGUCUCUGGGUUGUUCCCAGGUGCAUGGGCAGGGAGCUGCACACACCAUCCCGGGUCUCUGGGCUGCAGGUCCCAGCCCAUCCCCAGCCAAUCUGCUUUCCCAAGGGGCUGAGGCAGCUGUGCUUGUGGUACCUGCUCCAAAGGGACGGGCUGUUCGCUCUGGCUCAUCUUGUCCCUCAUCCCUUUGGGGCUCAGCCCCGUCCUUCCCCAUUUCUCUGUGACACACGAUGCUUCGUGCCAGCAAUCCCUGCCUAUGAGGAGAAGCCCUGCCCUGCCUGGGCGCUGCUCUCCCUCUGGCUCCUUGUUCUUCAGCCUUUGUUUGGUACACGUCCUCGUCCCCUAUGGAUGCCCAUAGUGUCCUUUCCCUUCCAUGGCUCAGUGAGGACCACGAGGAGCUCCCAGCCAUGAAUUUCCCCCACACACCACUGCCAGGCUGUUAUUGCUGUGCGCUCCCUCCUGACUCCAUCUGUCUGCAUGGUGCUACUGCUCCGUGCCAGGAGGGCUCCGGGACCGCUGGGGUCACGGCUGCCCCAUUACGGGGCGAGAUUUAUCAUUGGCAGGUGUGCUGCGGGAUGGUAUAUUAUCCAGGAUUAUGAACUGUAACAGGAUAAUCUCUCUAAUGUAAUUCAAGCUCUCGACAUGGCUUAUGGCUCCUUAAUGUACCUCAGACUGAAGAAUUACAAGAACAUUUUCCCCCCUCCCUACCUUGUCAGCUCCUAAAUGAUUUAGGCAAUCGCCUGAAGCCAGAUCUUGGCCUCCAGUCAUAACUCAGAGCAGUUCAGUAAAUAUGAUGGGGAAGGAGUUUUCCUGCCUUGGCUCUUUCUUCCUUCCGCUGCGCUCAGCCCUCGCGGUGCUGCUGCUCUGCUCCCUGUGGAGCAUUCAGGAUGGACCCAAAGUUGGGCUGGUGGGCGCAGGGAUGCUCUGCAGGGGGAUCAUGCCUUGGUUUCAGACCACGGGGUUGUGCCCAUUUCAGCAUCACCUCUCUUUUUGAGUAAUGCAGCAAUUAGUGGUUUGGUAACACAUCAACCAAUGCAUGUCCAGCUUCGCUCUGUGCCCCCGCUGAGCCAAGAGGAACAUUGCCCAUCUUCAUCUAAUUGGCUUUUAAUUCUGGUCAUUGCUUUGACCUUAAAGAUGUGGUUUGUGGGGCCGAUUUUGGAGCAGGUACAUCCCCACAUGGGCACCAAAAAGGUGAGCAGUGAUGGCCACCACCCCAGGGUCCCACAGCGACCAACUGGCCUCAGUCCAGCCCCCAUGAGCCCAAUGACAAAUAAACCUCGUAAAAGGAGAGGAAAAAGAGGGAGAAAAGCAGAGAUUAAGAACAGGAACUGCAGGGAUAUGGCUUCCACUCGGCGACUGACUUAAAAUAAACAUCAGAUAUGCAGAGCAGGGCUGGGAGCCUGCCAUGGCAUGGGGGAAAAAGUAAUGCAGGGAAAUGUGUGUGUCCUUUAGCACGGCCGGUUAUGGGCCUGGUUACCUGGUGCUAACGUGAGUGUGGCAGAGGUGUGAUGUGCCGAGUGGCUGCAGGGGAAGGAAAAGGGGAAUGCAUGGGAAUGAGGAAGGGUGCUGGGGAGUGUGGAGCAGCCAGGAGCGCUCAUCCCUGCCCCAACCCCGGCUCUGCGGGGAUGAAAAACAGAGGGAUGGAAAGCAAAGGGAUGGAAAGCAAAGGGAUGGAGAGGGGGAGAUGGGCUCAGGAGGCACCCGGCUGUGGUGGGCACGGAGGCCCCGGAGCUGCAGGUGCCCCAGCAGAGCCCACAGCAGAGGCAGCAGCAGAGCAUCCCCAUCCCCUGGAAGCGCAGUGCAGAGCGGAGCUGGAGCGUGACGGCAGCCCAUGGCAGGGCUCCGGCCGGCCCCAGGCAGCUGUAUUUACUGUUGCUAUUUGUUGUCGCCCUGGCAGCCUCCGCAAUGUGAAUUUUCUGUGUCACUGGCUGAGAGGAUUCCAGGCAGGUUUUUGAUAAUGUGGGGUUGGUUUUGUAAAGCAGGGAGGGAGAGGGGAAAAGGAGCCACGGGCUACAAACAGCUCGGCCCGGAGCUUUUAACUCUUUCGCCGCUGAAUGUGCCUGACUGCUGCGGACAGAGCAGCAGAGCUGUGCUGGAGGUCCCUUCCCCACCACUGCUCGGGGGUCCCGCACCGAUCCCCCCCGUGCCUCAGUUUCCCUUCCUGCAAAAAGGGAGGAACGUGUGGGCACGGUGCGGUGCCCGCAGUGCCGCAUCCAUGGGGCAGCUGAAGUGCCCACCUGGCAGUGCCCCACGCUCAGCUUCUUCCACCUGGGAGCUGCAGGGUUUGAUCUCUCCAGAAGCAAAACCAGAAUCCACACGCAGUCGAGGUCUCCUCUUUUGUUUUCAGGCAGACAGAGCAGCAGUGCCCGUCCCCUCCCAGUGCUGCUGCUGGGAGCACCAACACCGGGAUCUGCUGUUUCUUCCUUUCUCUCUUUCUUCUUUCCUUUCUGUCUGGCUGUGCGCUUUGGGUAAUUAGCGUAUCAUGGAGAGAUGGUGUGGUGGGACAGGAAGGAAAAGCUGUUUGCACAGCAGAGUAACUGGCAGAGCAUCUUCAGACCUGUCUGUGCUUCCCAGGUGGCACCUCCGGCUUAACCGCUUCCUUGCUG
ensembl:lncRNA